GCGGUUGUGGCUCAUGGGUAGAGCGCUCGCCUCAAAUGUGUGAGGCCCUGGGUUUGAUCCUCAGCACCACA
rnacentral:tRNA from 1 species